AAUACUAAGAGAUCAUCAUGAGAGUUAAUCCAGGUAUGACUCUAUCGCUCUGGUUUUGCGUACGUUCUACUGACAUAGCACUGCAUUAUGACACACACUGAGGCACAUUUUUGUUGUUUAACCUUGAGCCUUUCCAGCCACCCUUGUACGUUUUAUCCGUUGCGAACCCCUUUGAGCCUUUAACCAUUUUGUUUGUUUGUAAACCGCUUAUGUUACCCUAUGGCCAGAAAAAGAAAAAAAAUAUAUAAUAAUCUCUUCUACCCUUGCUCGGCAUAAAUGUUGUGGAUUUUGGAAACUGUGUUGAAUUCUAAGUUUGGGGUGGUAAAUCUAAUACAAAAGGGACAAGUGUGCGAAAAAUUGUUACAAGAAAA
rnacentral:lncRNA from 1 species